rnacentral:rRNA from 1 species
GAUGAACGCUGGCGGCGUGCCUAAUACAUGCAAGUCGAGCGAACGGACGAGAAGCUUGCUUCUCUGAUGUUAGCGGCGGACGGGUGAGUAACACGUGGAUAACCGACCUAUAAGACUGGGAUAACUUCGGGAAACCGGAUCUAAUACCGGAUGAUAUUUUGAACCGCAUGGUUCAAAAGUGAAAGACGGUCUUGCUGUCACUUAUAGAUGGAUCCGCGCUGCAUUAGCUAGUUGGUAAGGUAACGGCUUACCAAGGCAACGAUGCAUAGCCGACCUGAGAGGGUGAUCGGCCACACUGGAACUGAGACACGGUCCAGACUCCUACGGGAGGCAGCAGUAGGGAAUCUUCCGCAAUGGGCGAAAGCCUGACGGAGCAACGCCGCGUGAGUGAUGAAGGUCUUCGGAUCGUAAAACUCUGUUAUUAGGGAAGAACAUAUGUGUAAGUAACUGUGCACAUCUUGACGGUACCUAAUCAGAAAGCCACGGCUAACUACGUG